UCAAAUGGCACUCAAGAAAUCUUCAUGAUUUCUUCCAGCACGAAUUAACUAUUCUUAAAAUCAAAGAAAGUAUCGUGAUUUACAAAGAAACAAGAUUCUGGAAAAUGAAAGAAAAAGGUGACACAAACGAACAAAAGCUGAAGCUUUAAUGGAAAUUUGUGGCAAAUGAGUGA